AAAAAAGCUAAAAUAACACUGUUUGCUUAGGUUUGAGGAGACCCUGCAAAAUUCCUAUAGUGCUUGUGUGAAUAUUAUAAAAUGGCUUGAGACCUUUCCCGGAUUCAUACUGAGUAAGUUCUAAAUAUUUCAGACAAUU
rnacentral:snoRNA from 1 species